AACGGUAACAGGCCUUCGGGCGCUGACGAGUGGCGAACGGGUGAGUAAUGCAUCGGAACGUGCCCGGUCGUGGGGGAUAACACUUCGAAAGAAGUGCUAAUACCGCAUACGAUCUGAGGAUGAAAGCGGGGGACCUUCGGGCCUCGCGCGAUCGGAGCGGCCGAUGUCAGAUUAGGUAGUUGGUGGGGUAAAGGCCUACCAAGCCAACGAUCUGUAGCUGGUCUGAGAGGACGACCAGCCACACUGGGACUGAGACACGGCCCAGACUCCUACGGGAGGCAGCAGUGGGGAAUUUUGGACAAUGGGCGCAAGCCUGAUCCAGCAAUGCCGCGUGCAGGAAGAAGGCCUUCGGGUUGUAAACUGCUUUUGUACGGAACGAAACGGUCCUGGCUAAUACCUGGGGCUAAUGACGGUACCGUAAGAAUAAGCACCGGCUAACUACGUGCCAGCAGCCGCGGUAAUACGUAGGGUGCGAGCGUUAAUCGGAAUUACUGGGCGUAAAGCGUGCGCAGGCGGUGCUGUAAGACAGGCGUGAAAUCCCCGGGCUCAACCU
rnacentral:rRNA from 1 species